rnacentral:lncRNA from 1 species
UGUGUUUUAGGAGUUUGGUUCUUUUUACAAAAUCUCUAACAUGCAUUAACACCUAUAUCUUUAUUGCUCGGCCUCAGAUAGUUGUGACUUCUACAUAAGUCCAAUUAUUAUUACUUAACAUAGAGCUAAAUUUGAUUACAAGGCAUACCAUUCUAGUAAGUGAGAUUGUAAGUCUCUCAUUCUUUAUGGAAUUGUGUGAAAACUUGACCUUUUUUCCAUUCAUGAGAGCUAG